CAGCCGUGUAUCGAGCACGUAGCAAACUAUUCUUUCGCCUUUUACUAAAGAAUACCGUGUGCUCGUUGCUAUUUAAGCGGCAUACACCUAUUUUUGGAGAGGGUUGUCUAUUUGACAUCCC